CCAUAAUUAGGGCCCCGCCAAAGGCGGGUCGCCCUAUAGUGAUCAGUCUGUCCGUCCGUCCGUUCGUCCGUCCGUCAGUCCGUAACACUUUAACUUUGUGUCCGCUCCAUAUCUAGAGAACCAUUAUGAUUUCAUACUUUAUACUUUACAUGUUUAUUAACCACCACCAGAGGGCGUGUCAUGAUGUAGGUACAACUUCCUAGGUCAAAGGUCAAGGUAAAAAAACUUUGGUUUCAGUUGACAACCCUGUGUCCUGUGGUAAAGAUCGUGUCCGCUCUAUAUCUUGAGAACCGUUAUGAUUUCAAAGUUUAUACUUGACAUGUAUAUGAACCAACACCAGAGGGUGUGUCAUAAUUUAUGAACGACUGCCUAGGGCAAAAUUCAAGGUCAAAAACUUUGAUUUCAGUUGACAACCCCAUGUCCUAUGGUAAAGAUUGUGUCCGCUCUAUAUCUUGAGAACCGUUAUCAUUUUAAAGUUUAUACCUGAAAUGUAUAUAAACCAAUAUCAGAGAGUAUGUCAUAAUUUAUGUAAACCUUCCUAGGUCAAAGGUCAAGGUCAAAAACUUUGGUUUCAGUUGACAACCCCAUGUCCUAUGGUAAAGAUCGUGUCCGCUCUAUAUCUUGAGAACCGUUAUCAUUUCAAAGUUUAUACUUGACAUGUAUAUAAACCAACACCAAAGGGUGUGUCAUAAGUUAUGUGCAACUUCCUUGGUCAAAGG
rnacentral:lncRNA from 1 species